rnacentral:rRNA from 1 species
UUACGGAAGGUCCGGGCGUUAUCCGGAUUUAUUGGGUUUAAAGGGAGCGCAGGCGGAGAUGCAAGCGUGACGUCAAAUUUCGGGGCUCAACCCCGUCUCGCGUCGCGAACUGCGUCCCUUGGUUGCGGGAAGGGGAGGCGGAACUCGUGGUGUAGCGGGGAAAUGCAUAGAUAUCACGAAGAACUCCGAUCGCGAAGGCAGCCUUCCGGCCCGUCAACGACGCUCAUGCUCGAAGGUGCGGGUAUCAAACAGGAUUAGAUACCCUGGUAGUCCGCACAGUAAACGAUGGACACCCGCGGUUUGGCCUGUAUGGCUGAGCCGCCAAGCGAAAGCGUUAAGUGUCCCACCUGGGGAGUACGCCGGCAACGGUGAAACUCAAAGGAAUUGACGGGG